AAUGUAUUAACAGCCAACUGAUGGAAGGAGAAAAGAAAGGGAGCAAAGGCAGUGCAACAUAUUUUCCAUUUCAAUUUAAGAAAAGUUUUACUUAGAGUUGUUAUCAAGAUAAUACUCCACAGACUUGUUAAACAAUUAUGGCAAAACAAUUUGAGUAGCAGAAGUGUAUCCAGGAUACUGCAAAACAAAUUAUAUGGCUUUCCUAUUGAGAAUAUAUUAAUAGGUUUAGAAGUGGUAAGCUCUAGAUAUAUUGAGGCAAAAAGAAAAAAAUCAUGAUAAUGAUAUUCAUCCUCACGUACUUUAUUAUUUCAUUUUGUAGAGAUCAAAAUGAAUACAUAUAACUAAGCUUUAUUUUAUGAGUAUUUCUUACUUUACCAAUUGAUAACUGUCAAAAUUAUGUAAUUCAAUAUUUAGUUAGUCUAUAAGCUUUCUGGUAGUUUUUUCAUAGGAAAUUCAGUACUGAUAUGCUCUUGGUCCAUUUAAUCCAGAUUUUAUCAUAUAAAGGUAAAAAAAUCAGAGAAUAUAUGAAAAACAAUACUUAUUUGAUAAAUUGUCUUUCUCACCAGUAGAACAAAAUGCAUUUGAUUCAUAAACAUGGAAAGGAAUACAGAUAUAAGCAAAUAUGCAUACACACAUAUCCAUAGUUACAUAACUAGAUAGAAAUGAUUAUAUAUCUCGCAAUUUUUAAGUGAUGAGAAAAGCCCUAUUAUAAUGUGCCCAACAGUUGAGAUUGUUGUUUCGCUUUUUCUACUGUGAAAUAAAAGACAGAUAUUUUUCAGCAUAAUACAACUCUUCCAUUUACUUAACAAUUUUCAGUUAUUAGAAGCAGAUGGUGUUUUGGUGGUAAACACAAUUAAUUUACAUUUUAGAGAAUUUACUUAAUUAGAAUUGGACUCCAUGUCUCGCAUACAUUGGAUUUCAUCAUUAUACAUACUGUUUAUAAUUCUGCCGGCUGUCAUAAAUGUACACUUAUUUUUUCAAUUCAUAAAAAUAUAACUUCUAAAAAGGAGAUAAUCUAUCCAUUUUCCUGCAUAACCUGAAAAUAAAAUACAUUGUUUCAAAAUUUCAUUUUAAAAGAUGUUUGAGCCAUCAAUUUAUCUUGUUUUAAAGUGCGUGAAGAAGUCAAAGUAUGUACAACUUUAAGUACAUAUCUCCAUUUUAUAUCUCUUCAAUGUUAAUGUAUUUUUUUAGUUCUAAAAUGUUAACUGAAGUAUUUCAUACUUUAUAGAUCUAUAAAAAUACUAUUGAUGACAAAAACAUGCUUAUUGAACCAUGAAAACAUUUCCAAUUUAUUCAGUUUAUUUCCCCAAAAUGUUACCAAAGUAUAUUUAUAUAGUCUGAUGAUAAGUAAACACUCUACCCAAUUUCAGAUGUUGGUUCUGUAAAAUGUUAUUCAUUGAAAUGACUGAUGUUUUACACUUUUUUUUCUUUUUUGAGACUGAGUCUCACUCUGUUGCCCUGGCUGGAGUGCAGUGGCAUGAUCUCAGCUUACUGCAACCUCCGCCUCCUGGAUACAAGUGAUUUCUCCUGCCUCAGUCUCCCAAGUAGCUGGGAUUACAGGAGUGCAACACCACGCCCAGUUAAUUUUUGUGUUUUUAGUAGAGACGGGGUUUCACCAUGUUGGCCAGGAGGGUCUGAAACUCCUGACUUUAGGUGAUCCGCCUGCCUCGACCUCCCAAAGUGCUGGGAUUACAGGUGUGAGCCACCACGCCCAACCGAUAUUUCACACUUCGGAUGUGCAUGCAUGUAUGUGCAUGCUCAUGCAUGUGUCUCCUCCCAAUUACAUUUGGUAUUCUAAUUUUAUAUUGCUGGAUUAAAUAUAUCAUAGAGGUAUUAAUUCAAGUUAUUUAAAUUUUAAUAUUUAUGAAAAAUGCUCCUUCUUACUAUUUCAGACUUUAUUUUACUUGUGCCAUAGAUUUAUUUUAUAACUUUCUCAGGGUUAUAAGAUCCCUUUUACCUGUCAUGCAACAUCAGCAAAGGGUUAUUUUAAUACUUUGAGCAUAUUAUUAUUUUGCUUCAUGGAAAUGCAAUUAAUAGUUUUUCUUGAAUAAUUUCCUUUAAUAAUGAUCUCUACUUAGCAAAACAGGCUAUGGUUAAGAGUAUGUCCCUAAAAGUAAUUUUUAAGAGGGAUGAUCUUGUUUUGUUGCCCAGGCUGGAAUUGAACUCCUGGGCUCAAGCAAUCCUCCCACCUCAGCACCCCAAGUAGUUGGGACUACAAGCAAUUGUCACUGUGCCCCAAAGAGUUAUGUAUUUUUAAUCUAAUUAGAAUAAAAUUCUAAAGAAUAUUUUGAAUUUGUUUAAAACAGCUUAAACUUAAUAUGUUCUUAGAAACUGUUCUUAACAAGUUUGGGGGCUUAGGAUUAGAUUUGAUUAUUACUUAUCUUACAUCUAAAAAAUUAAUUCUACAUCAUCAUUAAAAAUGAUGUCCAGAUAUUACGAAUGAUAAUUUAGGGUCCAAAAGUAAUAGUUAAGUGGUCUGACAACUUCCCUUAAUAGUAAGAUGUUAUAAUCAAUAGGCUUAUAUUUUACAUCUU
rnacentral:lncRNA from 1 species